GGGGAAUAUUGCACAAUGGGGGAAACCCUGAUGCAGCGACGCCGCGUGGAGGAAGAAGGUCUUCGGAUUGUAAACUCCUGUUGUUGGGGAAGAUAAUGACGGUACCCAACAAGGAAGUGACGGCUAACUACGUGCCAGCAGCCGCGGUAAAACGUAGGUCACAAGCGUUGUCCGGAAUUACUGGGUGUAAAGGGAGCGCAGGCGGGAAGACAAGUUGGAAGUGAAAUCUAUGGGCUCAACCCAUAAACUGCUUUCAAAACUGUUUUUCUUGAGUAGUGCAGAGGUAGGCGGAAUUCCCGGUGUAGCGGUGGAAUGCGUAGAUAUCGGGAGGAACACCAGUGGCGAAGGCGGCCUACUGGGCACCAACUGACGCUGAGGCUCGAAAGUGUGGGUAGCAAACAGGAUUAGAUACCCUGGUAGUCCACACCGUAAACGAUGAUUACUAGGUGUUGGAGGAUUGACCCCUUCAGUGCCGCAGUUAACACAAUAAGUAAUCCACCUGGGGAGUACGACCGCAAGGUUGAAACUCAAAGGAAUUGACGGGGGCCCGCACAAGCAGUGGAGUAUGUGGUUUAAUUCGACGCAACGCGAAGAACCUUACCAAGUCUUGACAUCCCUUGACAGGCAUAGAAAUAUGUUUUCUCUUCGGAGCAAGGAGACAGGUGGUGCAUGGUUGUCGUCAGCUCGUGUCGUGAGAUGUUGGGUUAAGUCCCGCAACGAGCGCAACCCUUAUGGUCAGUUACUACGUAAGAGGACUCUGGCCAGACUGCCGUUGACAAAACGGAGGAAGGUGGGGAUGACGUCAAAUCAUCAUGCCCUUUAUGACCUGGGCUACACACGUACUACAAUGGCGUUUAACAAAGAGAAGCGAAACCGCGAGGUUGAGCAAAUCCCCAAAAAACGUCUCAGUUCAGAUUGCAGGCUGCAACUCGCCUGCAUGAAGUCGGAAUUGCUAGUAAUCGUAGGUCAGCAUACUACGGUGAAUACGUUCCCG
rnacentral:rRNA from 1 species